AGCAGCCGCGGUAACUCCAGCUCCAAUAGCGUAUAUUAAAGUUGUUGCAGUUAAAAAGCUCGUAGUUGAACUUCGGGGUUUACCCAUUGGUCAGGCUUAAUUGUCUGUACUGGUGAGAUAAAUCUCUACCUUCUGAGGAACUUUCAUGCCAUUUAUUUGGUGUGAUUGGAAAUCAGGACUAUUACUUUGAAAAAAUUGAGUGUUUAAAGCAGGCUAACGUCUGAAUAUAUUAGCAUGGAAUAAUGAAAUAGGACGGCUUGGUUCUAUUUCGUUGGUUUCUAGGAUCACCGUAAUGAUUAAUAGGGAUAGUUGGGGGCAUUAGUAUUCAAUUGUCAGAGGUGAAAUUCUUGGAUUUAUUGAAAGACUAACUACUGCGAAAGCAUUUGCCAAGGAUGUUUUCAUUAAUCAAGAACGAAAGUUAGGGAUCGAAGACGAUCAGAUACCGUCGUA
rnacentral:rRNA from 1 species